UAUAAUAAUUUAUUAGUGGCUUUUUACUCCGUAACGCAUUCAGUAACCGUUCUUCCCUCCCAUAUUACAUCCGCUGUCCGUUUCACAAACCCUAGAUGUUUUAUUUUGUUUUUCAGAAAUAAAACCGUACUUGACAUGGCAGUAUGUUCAGUUCAGGUGAGGCGUUUGUGUCAUGACUGACGGCAUCUACCUCUUUAACCAUGUAACAUCAGGAAUGUCAUUUUAAGCCUCCGCUGUUUUUCGACUGCCCUCCACUGGAAUGACUAUUUGCUAAAUCAUUGUAACCCAUUGAGCCAACACGUUUGAAACAAGUGCUAUUCUAAAGGUUUUCAAAAAUAUCCAGUGAUUUGAAACUCAUAAUAACGUAUGAACCUGAAACAAGUGUUAUUUUCAGAUUUUACUUGAUGGGGUUUAAAAGUCCACUCGCCAACACUACAACCCUUUGCACUGAACAGUAAUUAUUCAUUGUUUAUUUUUAAUCAUGUUGUUGUUUUACCCGCUGUUAUCACUCCUUUUUUGUAAUACUUUUCUAGAA